rnacentral:rRNA from 1 species
AACGAACGCUGGCGGCAUGCCUAACACAUGCAAGUCGAACGAGACCUUCGGGUCUAGUGGCGCACGGGUGCGUAACGCGUGGGAACCUGCCCUUAGGUUCGGAAUAACUCCCCGAAAGGGGUGCUAAUACCGGAUAAUGUCUUCGGACCAAAGAUUUAUCGCCUUUGGAUGGGCCCGCGUUGGAUUAGCUAGUUGGUAGGGUAAAAGCCUACCAAGGCGACGAUCCAUAGCUGGUCUGAGAGGAUGAUCAGCCACACUGGGACUGAGACACGGCCCAGACUCCUACGGGAGGGAGCAGGGGGGAAUAUUGGACAGUGGGCGAAAGCCUGAUCCAGCAAUGCCGCGUGAGUGAUGAAGGCCUUAGGGUUGUAAAGCUCUUUUACCCGGGAUGAUAAUGACAGUACCGGGAGAAUAAGCUCCGGCUAACUCCGUG